rnacentral:lncRNA from 1 species
CUUAAGCGGAUUCGUAAAUUGAGACAUUAUGGUCAUGAAGUACCAAUUAUACUUGUUCAAAUAAGGUAGGUUAGUAACUCUUAUUUAGUCUAAUUUCAUUGUUAACUCAUUAAUUGUUCAAUUUUUUAACAGCAAUACAGCCUCUGUUCAGUUUUUUAACAGUGCAAUACAACCUCUGUUGAGCUUUUAACAGCGCAAUACAGCCUAUGUUCUGUUGCAGCAGCAACAAUAAACAACAACUCCAAAAAAACAGAAAGAAGAAGAGAAGAAGAAGAAAGAAAAAGAGAAAAAUUCGACGAAGUCACAUAACAAAAUAUUGAAGAAAGAAGAAAGGAGAUGAAGGAACAAGAAGAAAGAAGAAAAGAUAUGAACAGAAGCAUACCUGAUGAAGAAACUUGAAGAAGAAAGGAAAUGACUGGUCUGCUGUCGACUAGAAGGAGAAAGAGUAAAGAAAUAGCGUCCCCUAAUUUUUGUUUUAACAAUCUCACAGAUAAGGCAUCUUCGUCAAGGCUGCCGCUUGCAAAUCCCUGUAGUGCGAAAUAGCAUCCCCUAAUGUUUGUUUUAACAAUCUCACAGAUGAGGCAUCUUCGUCAAGGCUGCCGCUAGCAAAUCCCUGUAGUGCAGUGUCUAGACAGAUGCAACAGCUCGAUUAUUAUAGUAUACAUCUAUUCAACGCAAUUCUCUAAAUAGAAAUGACUCUCGAAUUAUCUUGCUCUAUUAUUAUAGUAUACAGCAAUCAAUGCAAUACUCUAAAUAGAAAUGACUUUU